GAUGAACGCUAGCUACAGGCUUAACACAUGCAAGUCGAGGGGUAACGAGAGGAAAGCUUGCUUUCCUUGUCGACGACCGGCGCACGGGUGAGUAACGCGUAUCCAACCUGCCCCCAACUAGGGAAUAACCUUGCGAAAGUAAGACUAAUACCCUAUAAUUUCCUCAGAUGUCAUCUGACGAGGAAUAAAGAUUUAUCGGUUGUGGAUGGGGAUGCGUCUGAUUAGCUUGUUGGCGGGGGAACGGCCCACCAAGGCAACGAUCAGUAGGGGAUCUGAGAGGAAGGGCCCCCACAGUGGAACUGAGACACGGUCCAAACUCCUACGGGAGGCAGCAGUGAGGAAUAUUGGUCAAUGGGCGGAAGCCUGAACCAGCCGAGUAGCGUGCAGGAUGACGGCCCUAUGGGUUGUAAACUGCUUUUAUACAGGAAUAAAGUUAGCCACGUGUGGUUAUUUGUAGGUACUGUAUGAAUAAGGACCGGCUAAUUCCGUGCCAGCCGCCGCCGUAA
rnacentral:rRNA from 1 species